AGUGAACGCUGGCGGUAGGCCUAACACAUGCAAGUCGAACGGCAGCACAGUAAGAGCUUGCUCUUACGGGUGGCGAGUGGCGGACGGGUGAGGAAUGCAUCGGAAUCUACUUUUUCGUGGGGGAUAACGUAGGGAAACUUACGCUAAUACCGCAUACGACCUACGGGUGAAAGCAGGGGAUCUUCGGACCUUGCGCGAUUGAAUGAGCCGAUGUCGGAUUAGCUAGUUGGCGGGGUAAAGGCCCACCAAGGCGACGAUCCGUAGCUGGUCUGAGAGGAUGAUCAGCCACACUGGAACUGAGACACGGUCCAGACUCCUACGGGGGGCAGCAGUGGGGAAUAUUGGACAAUGGGCGCAAGCCUGAUCCAGCCAUACCGCGUGGGUGAAGAAGGCCUUCGGGUUGUAAAGCCCUUUUGUUGGGAAAGAAAAGCAGCAGGUUAAUACCCCGCUGUUCUGACGGUACCCAAAGAAUAAGCACCGGCUAACUUCGU
rnacentral:rRNA from 1 species